UUGGAUUAGAUACCCUAGUAGUCCACGCCGUAAACGAUGGGCACUAGGUGCCUGGGGGAGCGACCCCCCGGGUGCCGGCGCUAACGCAUUAAGUGCCCCGCCUGGGGAGUACGGCCGCAAGGCUGAAACUCAAAGGAAUUGACGGGGGCCCGCACAAGCGGUGGAGCAUGUGGUUUAAUUCGACGCAACGCGAAGAACCUUACCUGGGCUUGACAUGCAGGGGAAACGCCCCAGAAACGGGGCGCCCUCUUCGGAGUCCCUGCACAGGUGCUGCACGGUUGUCGUCAGCU
rnacentral:rRNA from 1 species